UACGUAGGGGGCUAGCGUUGUCCGGAAUCAUUGGGCGUAAAGAGCGUGUAGGCGGUCCGUUAAGUCCGCUGUGAAAGUCGGGGGCUCAACCCUCGAAUGCCGGUGGAUACGGUCGGGCUAGAGUGCGGAAGAGGCGAGUGGAAUUCCUGGUGUAGCGGUGAAAUGCGCAGAUAUCAGGAGGAACACCUAUUGCGAAGGCAGCUCGCUGGGACGUAACUGACGCUGAGACGCGAAAGCGUGGGGAGCAAACAGG
rnacentral:rRNA from 1 species